rnacentral:tRNA from 1 species
GGUCUCAUAGCUCAGCUGGAAGAGCGCCGAGCUGAUAACUCGGAGGUCGUCCGUUCAAGUCGGACUGGGACCACCA